AUUAAACGCUGGCGGCAUGCCUUACACAUGCAAGUCGAACGGCAGCACGGGAGCAAUCCUGGUGGCGAGUGGCGAACGGGUGAGUAACACGUAGGUCAUCUGCCCUUUGGUGGGGAAUAACCCGAGGAAACUCGGGCUAAUACCGCAUACUGCCUUCGGGUCAAAGGCUUCGGCCGCCAGAGGAUGAGCCUGCGUCGCAUUACCUAGUUGGUGGGGUAAUGGCCCACCAAGGGGACGAUGCGUAGCUGGUCUGAGAGGAUGAUCAGCCACACUGGGACUGAGACACGGCCCAGACUCCUACGGGAGGCAGCAGUGGGGAAUAUUGCGCAAUGGGGGAAACCCUGACGCAGCCACGCCGCGU
rnacentral:rRNA from 1 species